CAGGAAGCUUUGCGUGAGAACUCCUGCAGGCGGGACAUUUCCUCCUUCCUGAGGAGGAGGUCUUCCUGUCUGUCUCACGCUCCGGGACUGGAAGUGCCUCCAGUCAAUAUGUCCUGUCCAUCUCUGUGCUCUGGUGACAGCACAGUGCUGGGCACAGAUCAGGUACUCAAUUAAUUGUGUUUGUUGGGUAAAAGUGUAGGUUUGCCUUGUCUUUCCGUCGCCACCAUCCCAAGCCCUGGUUGCCCCGGGACCGUUGCAGCAUCUUCUCCCCAGCUCUGUCCUGCUGGGGCCUCCCAUUGCAAACCCACCCCGUAGUCCAUUGCCCAUGUCACUGAUUUCCAACAUCACUUUACUUGUAGCUUUCAUUGACUUACCACACUUUACCACUUCCACCCUUUCUUCCUUGGAAAUCCUAAAAGGCUCCUCAUGGCCUUGAGUCUUGUCUUCACGCUUCAUCCUGAGGUUUAAAGUCACACCAGGAGUUCUCAAGAUGAAAAGAACCCCUCGCAGAACCUUCAGAACGAUGCACUGUGUGCUCCUUGGGGUGUCACUACUCUUUCCAGGUUCCCCUGCCCAGAUGCACCACAGAACACACUUUCCUCCUCACACGGGGCAGCCAUUGGAUUUGCAUUGGCCAAAGAAGUGGAAGUGAGUUUGUCAUCCGGUAGCAGCUUUAAAGAUGUAAGCCUCGUUGGCUGUGUUCCUUCUUUUCCCUGAGCGAAGUGAGCACGGCACUCCGUCAGCCCGUCCGCUGGGGUGGGGAGCCCACCAUGCAGGAGGAGCUGCUAUUCCCGUUUACAGAACAGCAGUCAUUACCGUGACAGAUGACAGAGAAGGGAAGGAGGGUGAGAGGGUAGAAGUCACUCAGCCGCUCAGGGUGGAACCGAGACCUCCCCGGUUCCAGUGGGCCAUCUCGUCGUCACCCAGGCAGAGCCACUCGGUCCCUCCAGGAAGACACAUAGGCAGAAUGAAAAGCACACGAGACAAACCUUGGAGCAUCAGCCAGCCUCCUGCCUCUUGCAUCUCUCCUGGAGCUUGACCAGCCCAGCUCUGACCCAGUGAGUGAGCGACUCUGUCCCAUCACUGGACUAAUUCCUCUGCUACACACAUGGAGAAUCACUGCACAAGCUCUGAAGACUCUCCCAUUCAUGAACACCAGAUGAGGUUCACAGAGGCUGGCCCCUCCAAUGGAAAAUGCAGCUGGGACCCAAGGAACGAGUGCAUUUGGUUUCUUCAUGUUACUUCUCAAAAGCGACACCAGCUCUCGGCUUUCUGUAUUUACCCUCAGCGUCUUCCCCCAAAGACCACAUUUCUGAUUUUGUCUUUCCGCCCCUUCUCAGCCAGCCGCCGUGGGCGGGGCUCCCCUCGAUCCGCCGACUGCGACCCAGGCAGUCCUACCGCCAGACGGAAGGGAGAGGAAGGGGGGCGGGCACCGUCCUGGACGUGCCCAUCGACAGGAGCACAACUCCCUCCUCAGCUCUCUUCGCAAGUGGCCAACGUGGCUCUGGGAGAGAAAUACAACUGGCAACCUAAAGAAAUGCCCUGAGCAAGGACCUGACUCCCCAAUGGCAACAAAGAUAAAAAGCAAGACAGCACCCCCACAGCUUCUAAGAGACAUUAGAUGAGCUAAUUAAAAUCAGUGCUAUUAAAAUGUCCAACUAAUCUAAACACAAAGGUUCCUGGUUUCCAGUCUUUCUGGUUCUAACCCAACAGCUCUCACCACAGAGGCCUUCAUGCUGCCUGUGGUGGUUGGGGUUUUGUCUUUAAGUGUAUCUGUAAAGUAAAUCUUGUUGAGUUCCUUACCACAGACCGUUAUCUUGCUUGAGAUGUCUGGAGCUCCGUUGGG